rnacentral:rRNA from 1 species
CCCCAGUAACGGCGAGUGAAGCGGGAAGAGCUCAAGCUUAAAAUCUCCUACUCGUAUGGCGAAUUGUAGUCUAUUGAGGCUGUUGUCAGCAUCGCGAUUGGGGACAAGUCCCUUGGAAAAGGGCAGCAUAGAGGGUGAUACUCCCGUCUCUGCUCCAAUCUGCGGUGUGUACGAUACGCUUUCUUUGAGUCGAGUUGUUUGGGAAUACAGCUCAAAGUAGGUGGUAAAUUCCAUCUAAAGCUAAAUAUUGGUGCGAGACCGAUAGCGAACAAGUACCGUGAGGGAAAGAUGAAAAGAACUUUGAAAAGAGAGUUAAAGAGUACCUGAAACUGUUGAAAGGGAACCGUAUCGUUUCCAGUGUUGUAUCCUAUGCAUAUUUCAUUCGCGGAGUAAUUUGCGGGUGCCCUGUGCAUGGGUGUGACGUCAGGGUCAGUUUGUAUGCUGCGGGAGAUGGUCAGUGAGGAGGUGCGUCACUUCGGUGAAAGUUAUAUCUCGCUGUCUAGUAGCCGUGGUUGAGACUGAGGUGCCUACAACAUGCCUUAAGGUUCCGUGUUGUCUCGUGUUGGUGACUGCUUUGAUAGCUUGCUAUGUCUGUGGUUUAUCAGUGCGAUUGAUGAUGCGGAUAACUUUUGCUGUUCGGGACUCUGGCGAAAUGGA